rnacentral:ncRNA from 1 species
CUCAGCCUGCUAACUAGCUACACGGAGGUGAUCCUUCAUGGCUAGCUUCUUAGAGGGACUAUGGCCUUUUAGGCUACGGAAGUUUGAGGCAAUAACAGGUCUGUAAUGCCCUUAGAUGUUCCGGGCCGAACGCUCGCUACACUGAUGUAAUCAACGAGUCUAUAGCCUUGGCCAACAGGCCCGGGUAAUCUUUGAAAUUUCAUCGUGAUGGGGAUAGAUCAUUG